UCCCAAAGGAAGGCUCUGGAAACUCACACACGGACUGUAGCAGCACCCGGAUCGUGGCUUGAAGGCCACCAAAUGAAAUGAGCAGCUCAAGACGCAUUGCAGGGACGCUGAAAUGCGCAACUACGGAACCUAGGAUGGUGAUGAAACGCAGGACAGCAAGACUCGGAUUGCAGAGAAAAGAAAAGGAGGACGCGCACUGCAAAGAGCUGGAGGUGAACUGGUGUUGGGCUGAGGCUCGAAAUGCACGAAAAGGGAUGUGAAACGCGGGGCUGGAGAAAGAAACGCGCAUUAUAAAAGGAUUUUUACUGGGCGCCGACUCGGCUUCUACGCCUUGGAAGUCGAAAUUAAAAGCUGAUCAAGUUUUUGACACCGUUGCCGGGGACAAUUGGUGUUUAGUAGAGCAUUCUCAUAUUGUUGAGAAGACGUUUGUAGUGCUAUGAACCUCUUCACAGCUUGGGUGACAUUCUUCUUUAUUUUAUUUUUAUUUUUUCUUGCAUAUUCUUUCAUUUUCUGUUAUUGUUUGUAUGACUGGUUGGAUUAGGGACCAAACUUCUCGGUUGGUUAGGACAGAAUCAUAAGCAUCUUUUACCUCAGCAUCACUUUCUCUUGAGUCAUCUUCUGACACUAAUAGUACUAUGGCUGAAAAUGAGAAUCAUGAUCGAGAAGUAGUAAAUCAGAAUAGGAUACUUAGAGAUUAUUUACAACCUGUCAGAACCAGCACACCCUUAUGCAUAAUCCAACUUUUGAAUGCAAAUGCCUUUAAUUUCAAACAUGAAAUGAUUUCAUUAAUUCCACAUUUUCAUGGCAUGGAAUCCAAGAAUCCUUACCUUCAUAUCAAAGAGUUUGAAGAGGUAUGUUCUACAUUCAUGGACCGGACAUGCACUGAGGAGGUUAUUAGACUAAAGUUAUUUCUAUUUUCCUUGAAAGAUAAGGCUAAAACGUGGCUAAAUGCAUUGACACCUAGAACCAUAGGCACAUGGCAGGAAAUACAAACUGAAUUUUUGAAGAAAUUCUUUCCAAUACAUAGGACAAAUGCACUUAAAAGACAAAUCAUGAACUUUACCCAAAAAGAUUUUGAAACUUUUUAUCAAAGUUGGGAAAGGUUCAAUGAUCUUUUAAAUACUUGUCCUCAUCAUGGUUAUGAAAAUUAGCGUUUGAUAAGUUUUUUUUAUGAAAGUUUGACACCUAAAAUGCGCCAAUUUGUACAAACCAUGUGUAAUGGAGAAUUUUUUGACAAAGAGCCUGAGAAGCAUUUGAAUAUUUGGAUUAUCUUGCUGAAAAUGCUCAAUCUUAGGACACAAGUGAUGUGCAUGAUAGGUCUAGGCAAGUUGAGUCUGGUCAUGGAAAAUAUACUUUAAAGGAAGAUGAUGAUUUGCGUGCUAAAUUAACCUUGUUGUCUAGAAAAAUGGAAGCCAUGGAAUUGAAAAAAGUAAAUGAAGUGCAUGCUGUCCAUAAAAAUUAUGAGAAGUGUGGCAUAUGUGAGGAUCAUGGGCAUUCAACUAAUGAGUCUCCCAUGAUCCCCGCAUUCAAAGAGGUAUUGUUGGAUCAAUCUAAUGCUGUAAAUAUGAUAUAUAAACUAUAUUCUGGUCUUUACUCUAAUUCUUACAAUCCAGGAUGGAGAAACCACCCAAAUUUUGGGUGGAGGAAUGACCAGCAAGUAGCUCCAGCAGCCUCGGCACCGGGACCCUCUCAACUCACAAUUCAAGCACCUCCAAUGCAAAAGAAGGGACUUGAGGAGAUGGUACAACAAUUGUCAAACACCUUGCAACAGUUUAUGCAAGGUCAAGCAACAAUCAAUAAUCAAAACUCUUAAACGAUAAAUGACAUUCGGAGCACACUUACAAAAAUGACUACGACAUGGAGCUCUCUAGAAAAAGAAAAAUUUACUACACAACCUCAACCCAAUCCACAAAGUCUGCCACCUUAAGGAGCGGUUGAGAGUUCAAAUGUAAG